rnacentral:rRNA from 1 species
GAUGAACGCUGGCGGCGUGCCUAAUACAUGCAAGUCGAGCGAACAGACGAGGAGCUUGCUCCUCUGACGUUAGCGGCGGACGGGUGAGUAACACGUGGAUAACCUACCUAUAAGACUGGGAUAACUUCGGGAAACCGGAGCUAAUACCGGAUAAUAUAUUGAACCGCAUGGUUCAAUAGUGAAAGACGGUUUUGCUGUCACUUAUAGAUGGAUCCGCGCCGAAUUAGCUAGUUGGUAAGGUAACGGCUUACCAAGGCGACGAUGCGUAGCCGACCUGAGAGGGUGGUAGGCCACACUGGAACUUAGACACGGUCCAGACUCCUGAGGGACGCCGCAGUAGGGAACCUUACGCAAUGGGCGGAAGCAUGACGGAGCAACGCCGCGUGAGUGAUGAAGGUCUUCGGAUCGUAAAACUCUGUUAUUAGGGAAGAACAAAUGUGUAAGUAACUAUGCACGUCUUGACGGUACCUAAUCAGAAAGCCCCGGCUAACUACGUG